ACACCGCGGUAAAAUGAAGAGCAUUGGGAUCACGUGAAUCUGCACGUGCAGCAUGCCGUGUCAUGCUCAACAUCCGGGUACCUCGACCGCAUGGUCUCAUCAGUUGACUGAAAGAUACGGUAGCGAACAUGUCUGACAACGAACUGUUUCUAACACAAUCUACCUUCCGGGGAGAAAGUGACAAUGACGAUGAAGAGAAAACGAAAAACUGAAGCUUUGCGUACCUAAAGGAACUAAAUACAAAAACGACUGGGCGUUGUCUGUGUUCAGUCGCUGGCAGAAGGAGCGCUGUCAACGGCCCAUGAAGGAUAAUAUUGCCCUCUCAUGUGGAUGUCUGUAAACUAACUUAGUGGAUAUGACGCCAGCUGAAGUUAACACGGCAAUGAAAUACAUGUACUUCAUUUUCGAAACCAGAAAAGUGGACGUUACUCCUUACCUAUCAAGUACUCUGUAUGGCUUGUUUGCGGCUUUGUCCUCUGCAGUGAAAAUGUCUGGAUCAAGGAAAGGUUUGUUCGAACAUGAUGAGUUUGCUGAGUGUAGAAAAGCGCUCGAUGCCGCAAUGAGAGAAAGGUCUGCUGCCGGGUUCGGGACGUCUGUAUGUAAACACACGGAGAUAAUAUCGGAGGAGGAGGGGCAACGCCUUUGGGAGAAAGGGAUUCUAGGAGAAGAAAAUCCCCAACAGCUCCUUGAUACUGUUCUUUAUUUGACAGGACUACAUUUUGCGUUACGCGGAGGUAAAGAACGCCGAAGCCUCCGGUUGCAUAGCAACCCUCAGAUCACUGGCCUACAUCAGGACACAGGCGGCCGACAUUAUCUGUGUUACACGGAAGAUGUGUCUAAAACUAACCCGGGAGGAAUGACCCAGAGGAAACUUAAACCUAAAGUAGUUCGAGCCUACGAAAAUGAUGAUUCAACGAGAUGUUACGUCCGACUUUACCAAAAGAUGCGUUCUAUUUCACGCCGGUGAAGAGGCCGAAGGAUGAUACAGUGUGGUACCUGGAUGUUCCGGUGGGACAUAAUACUUUGCAGAACACUGAAAAGAAUAUGCAGUCAGGGAGGCAUAGAAGGUCGUAAGACGAACCAUUCUCUUAGAGCAACCGCAGCGACGAGGUUGUUUCAGACAAAUGUUGAGUAACAACUUAUUUGUGAACACACUGAUCAUAGGAGUGCUGUGCGAACCUACAAAAGAAGCAAUGACGCCCAGAAGGCCCUUGUUUCCGACAUAGUUGCAAAGAAUCCCAGAAUUUCUGCUGAUCCCCAAAACUGCACCACCACCGCCACAACACGGUUGGAUGCUCAUCUCGAGCGUGGAAACAUUUCCGUUACCUUCAAUUUUCACUAAAUUACGUGUACAAUGACUAUUCAGACAUAAAGUGGCAAAGUUU
rnacentral:misc_RNA from 1 species